AGCAGCCGCGGUAAUUCCAGCUCCAAUAGCGUAUAUUAAAGUUGUUGCAGUUAAAAAGCUCGUAGUUGAAUUUCGGGAUCAAUACGUCGGUCGUGCUUUCGGGUACGUACUGGCGUCAUUGGUUUCUCCUUUCUGACGAACCAUGAUGUCAUUAAUUUGGUGUUAUGGGGAGUUAGGACUGUUACUUUGAAAAAAUUAGAGUGUUUAAAGCAGGCAUUAGCUUGAAUACAUUAGCAUGGAAUAAUGAAAUAGGACGUUCGAUCCUAUUUUGUUGGUUUCUAGGAUCAACGUAAUGAUUAAUAGGGAUAGUUGGGGGCAUUAGUAUUCAAUUGUCAGAGGUGAAAUUCUUGGAUUUAUUGAAGACUAACUACUGCGAAAGCAUUUGCCAAGGAUGUCUUCAUUAAUCAAGAACGAAAGUUAGGGGAUCGAAGACGAUCAGAUACCGUCGUAGUCUUAACCAUAAACUAUGCCGACUAGGGAUCGGAUGAUGUUAAUUUUUUAAUGACUCAUUCGGCGCCUUACG
rnacentral:rRNA from 1 species